rnacentral:rRNA from 1 species
UAAGGAAUAUUUGGUCAAUGGACGAAAGUCUGAACCACCCAUGCCGCGUGAAGGAUGAAGGUCCUCUGGAUUGUAAACUUCUUUUAUCUGGGACGAAAAAAGGGAAUUCUUUCUCACUUGACGGUACCAGAAGAAUAAGCACCGGCUAACUCCGUGCCAGCGCCCCGGGGGUAAUACAAA